UUCAUUCAUUCCUAUUGCUCUUCUUCUUAAUCAUCAUCAUCAUCAUUAUCUACUUUAACUUCUUCCACCACCACCACCACCAUCAUGGCACUCGUUACUAAGCCACUCCAGACCCGUCCACACCACUGCACGCCACCAAACUCUACAUCACACCUCUAUCACACACACACAUAUACACACACAUAACGCACACAUGCACACACAUAACCACACUAUACAUUCUCCCUUUCUAGUGGUGUCGAUCGGCUGUUAAUUCCGUGGCACACCACACACAAACACAAACACACACACACACACACACCACACACACAAACACACACACACACACGACGUAAAGCAACCAGCUUCAACAGUGUCGCCGUGACGCCGUCUCCGCUUUGUGUGUCGCAGUGACCAUCCCAGAUCAGGAGGUAUUUACCCACCGAUUACUGUCAACAACACCAGAACAGUUUGAUGAUGGCCGUGUUCACCAACUUAAACAAGG